rnacentral:rRNA from 1 species
AAUAAAAGUCGUAACAAGGUUUCCGUAGGUGAACCUGCGGAAGGAUCAUUACCUAGAGUUGUAGGCUUUGCCUACCAUCUCUUACCCAUGUCUUUUGAGUACCUUCGUUUCCUCGGCGGGUCCGCCCGCCGAUUGGACAAACUUAAACCCUUUGUAAUUGAAAUCAGCGUCUGAAAAAACAUAAUAGUUACAACUUUCAACAACGGAUCUCUUGGUUCUGGCAUCGAUGAAGAACGCAGCGAAAUGCGAUAAGUAGUGUGAAUUGCAGAAUUCAGUGAAUCAUCGAAUCUUUGAACGCACAUUGCGCCCCUUGGUAUUCCAUGGGGCAUGCCUGUUCGAGCGUCAUUUGUACCUUCAAGCUCUGCUUGGUGUUGGGUGUUUGUCUCGCCUUUGCGUGUAGACUCGCCUUAAAACAAUUGGCAGCCGGCGUAUUGAUUUCGGAGCGCAGUACAUCUCGCGCUUUGCACUCAUAACGACGACAUCCAAAAAGUACUUUUUACACUCUUGACCUCGGAUCAGGUAGGGAUACCCGCUGAACUUAAGCAUA